AGUAACGGCGAGUGAACAGGGAA
rnacentral:ncRNA from 2 species